GACGAACGCUGGCGGCGUGCUUAACACAUGCAAGUCGAACGCUGAAGCUCAGCUUUUGUUGGGUGGAUGAGUGGCGAACGGGUGAGUAACACGUGAGUAACCUGCCCUCUUCUUUGGGAUAACGCCCGGAAACGGGUGCUAAUACUGGAUAUUCACUGGUCCCUGCAUGGGGGUUGGUGGAAAGGGUUUUUUCUGGUGGGGGAUGGGCUCGCGGCCUAUCAGCUUGUUGGUGGGGUGAUGGCCUACCAAGGCUUUGACGGGUAGCCGGCCUGAGAGGGUGACCGGUCACAUUGGGACUGAGAUACGGCCCAGACUCCUACGGGAGGCAGCAGUGGGGAAUAUUGCACAAUGGGCGAAAGCCUGAUGCAGCGACGCCGCGUGAGGGAUGGAGGCCUUCGGGUUGUAAACCUCUUUCGCUCACGGUCAAGCCGCAACUGUGGGUUGUGGUGAGGGUAGUGGGUAAAGAAGCGCCGGCUAACUACGUGCCAGCAGCCGCGGUAAUACGUAGGGCGCGAGCGUUGUCCGGAAUUAUUGGGCGUAAAGGGCUUGUAGGCGGUUGGUCGCGUCUGCCGUGAAAUCCUCUGGCUUAACUGGGGGCGUGCGGUGGGUACGGGCUGACUUGAGUGCGGUAGGGGAGACUGGAACUCCUGGUGUAGCGGUGGAAUGCGCAGAUAUCAGGAAGAACACCGGUGGCGAAGGCGGGUCUCUGGGCCGUUACUGACGCUGAGGAGCGAAAGCGUGGGGAGCGAACAGG
rnacentral:rRNA from 1 species